rnacentral:lncRNA from 1 species
AUACAAGUCCUGCCUUUCAAAGUGUCACUUGGUUGCACCUCAACUGUGGUAGAUUCAGUCAGCCUCAGACAGUUAUCCUGGUGGUUUAUGUAAAACUUUCAAACACUUAGAAAAGUUGAGUGAAUUCCACAAGAUAAAGUCCUGUUGCAUACAGAUUAUGACAGCGUGCUUUUACAGUGAAUUAAUAAUGUCUUGGUCAUAGUAGCAUACAAUGAAUAUACUUCAUUUUUUAUUAUUGUUCGAGUCAUGUAUGCCAUAUACCUUUUUCCUAAAUAUCUUGGCAUAUAAAUCAUUAACUGAAGUUGAGUCAUAUAGUUUUCUUUUCCUUCCUAAAAUAUUCAAAGAGGCACAAAGCUCAAAAUGUGCGGGAGUGUACUGACAGGACAAAGAACUGUUUUCAGCAUCUUUUUUGGUAUGUGGGUGAGAGGGUGAUUUAAACAUGGAGUAACCCUGUAUAUACCCGCUGUUCUGUUUUUUAAAGCAAUAAAGUGAUUGAGGCGUGGAUUGAGGUAGAUUAAACUUGGGAGGCAGAGGCUGGCAGAUCUUUGAGUUGGGGCGUUGCCAAAAGAACAUAGUCCUUGUCUCAAAUAUCAGUGUACAACAAAAUAAGUAUAAACAACGUGAGUGGCUUUAUAUGUUCUUCAUAAUGGGCCCCACCCGUCUAUCAUUUAUCCAUCCAUCCAUCAUCCAUCCACCCACCCACCCACUCAGCCUCCUACCCAUCCAUCUACGCAUCCCCCAUCCAUUUGGUCAUUGGUUGAAGAUCCUGUGUGUGGAUUCUGAGGUCACAUGUUCUUUACCUGACUUCUUUCUAACUGGGAAUUCUCAUGCAUUUUUAUUUGGUCACUGGUAUUUUUCAAUCUAGAGAAACAUUCAGCAUGUAGUGGAAUUUACAAAGAAUAUAUUUGUUUUUGUGUGUAUGAGUGCUUUGGCUGCAUGUAUGUCUGGACACCAUGUGCCUCACUGGAGCCUGAGGGAACCAGAAGGGCGUCAAGUUCCAUGUGUCUGUGGCACUUGGAAUCCUCUGGAAGAACAGCCAGUGCUCUCAGCCACUGAACCGUUCAGUUCCCCAACCCUACGUUACUGGGUUUUUUUUGACUGCCUUAGGAUUUAGUGAACAUAGUUCUAACACUUAUUUCCCAUGACUCACAACUAAAACUCCUGUGCUAGAGGUAUAGAAAACAUGAGAGUAUCACUCCAAACUCCAUUAUUAUUAUUGUUGUUGCUGUGGUUAUCAUUUUUCUUUUUGGAGUAACUCUUCUCCAGAGAAGUCACUGACAAUAGAGCUCCUAUCUAAUACUCAGAACAGCAAAUACACAUGAAAUGUUCCUUCAAGAAUGGAUUAAUUGCUGGGCCUCUUAGCACUUGUGGUAGGAGGAUUGAGAGUUUGAGGCUGCGGGGACCAGCGACAAGAGUGUGGCUCAGUGGUGGAUCUGUUGCCCAGACUGUGCAAAGCAUUGGGUUCAGAGCUUGGUAAAGAAAAACAAGAAUUUUUGCAAUAAAAGGGAGGAUGACUGAGCUAUGUGCAUAUUAUUGCCAGGGUUGUGUUACCGAAGCCGUGGCAGGCAGGCAAGCAGAGCCCCAUCGAAGGAGAGGAGGGACCGGUGGAUGCCAUCAUUCGGCAUAGGUUGGGCCUUUGAUUUCUGAGCUCAGGGCUUUUUUUCAGAGCCUUCCCUUUGGGCCAUGAUGAGAUAACUGUGGGAGUGACUAGGUGUCUUUCCAGGAUAUCUGGGAAUGGAUCUCUAGAUAACCAGGGGCCCCACGCUGAAGUUGGGCAAGUUGUAAUUUGUCGGGCAGGUUAUCUGACAGCUCUUAGCCAUCUCUUCUGGGUAGAAUGUUCCAUAACUACUUAUCCGGUUCUCACAACUUCACUGUGAGGGAGCAGUUGAAUUUCUGACUCUCAGGGCUGAGAGGAAGCAGGGGUCUCCCCAGGGCUGACGAGGGUAGUGCUGAUGCUGACACUGAGGGAUGGAAGGAGGUUUAAAGAGGAAGAAGGAGAUGGCAUGGCGUGAGCAUUAGAAGCCCGCUCUACAUCUGUUAGGUUUAAUUCUGUGACUUUGGUUAUCUGUGACUCUGAACACUGCCCCUUAUGGUUUUUCAAAUCUAGUGGUACUGUCCCACCAGACAGUUUUGGAACAAGAUUUCUGACCAGACAGCAGGCAGUUGUCUUGAUUCUUCAUAUGCUCCAGAAACCGCUGUUGUUUGCUGGAGCCCUGAGUCUGAAGGAUUUGAGGAUUCCCUGGGCCCUGCCGGUUUCAGUCACAGAUCUGCUUUCCUAGGCUCUCCGCCUCUUCCUCCUGCCCCGUUCAAUUAUUUCACCUUAUCAUAGAGGAUUUUAGUAAAUUCAUUGUCCUACUUAAGGCUCAGCCAGAGCCAGUCACUGGGGUGGCUUUAUAUUCAUGUGUCCUCUUGCUUCCUCUGUUGAGAGUUAACAGGUAAACACAGGGUGGGGAAAGCUGUGUCCUGCCAUAACGUGGUGAGAGACGCCUGAGGCCAGCCUGGCAUCUUUCCCAGCACACAGCCCUGCCUUGCUUAUCUUUGGGGAUAAGGGGGGCAGAGGAAGACAUUUAGGUGAGAUAGCCAAUAAGCUGGGAGAUUUAUGGCCUUUUCCCUUCAUGUCAGGAAAGUGGAUAAUGAGAAGUUAAUGCUACUACAAGACAGAAUAUUCCAGAGAAAAUUAUUUCCAAAGCAGUAUGUACUUUUUAAAAAUGAAAAGUCUUAAAGUG